UGGAACGUAGCUCAAGGAGAGCGCAGAGACGCCGGCACGAGGCGCAGGUUCGAGUCCUGCCGUUCCAA
rnacentral:tRNA from 1 species